UCUACGCCAAUGGCAGUACAGGCCAGGUGUUGGAAGAUUUUAACUGUUGAUCAUAUCAAGCCGAGCUAACCACUGUUAAUGUAAGCUACAUCUAAAGUACAUAGAGCUGGAUACCAUUCAUAACAUCAAAUGGGGGUGCCUACGUGGGUGGGUGUUGUGUUGAAACUCCGUAUACGUGAAAGGGCCGGGUUGAGGCUUUGCACGCCAGCAAUGGAGAAGUUGCAUCAUCAGAUGAGCAGACAACUUCUUUCGUCAGUUGGAAUGUCGUCAUAAUUAUAGGCUAUAGCACAUACUUAAAAAAAGCCCAGCCCAUCCCGUUUCCCACACUUCUGAUUCCAGACCCGAGAAGAAGAGUUGAAGAAGAUCUCCAGAAGACUGCAGCUGUCUCACCGCGAACGUCCUGACAAGAAACUCGGUGAGUCAACACCAUGAGGCUGUUCGUCUGUAUGCUGCUUGUGACGAUGGUUUUCACCGCAGUGCUUAUUGACCACUCGGAGGGCUUCAUAGUGUUUGCUAGGCGCCGUCGAUCUAAGCUGGAAAAUGAAGAGCUGCCGGGGUACGAGAAAGAAACGAGGUCCCUCAUGGAAAUCCUGAAAGACCUGUUGGAUGACGUGGAUGAGCAGCUUGACGCACGUGCACAGGAGGUACGGGAUCCAGAGGAGCAAGAAGACGCCCUGAUGCGACGCUGACCCCUGUACCCGGCAUGGCAGCCUACCGGAUCAACGGAAGACCGGCGUUUCCAGUGAUGACCAAAAAAUAAACACUGGGUUGACAAAUAAAAGUCAUGAAAACGUUGAGUAUUAUUUGUGCAGUGUGACUUAUUUCUAAGAACUUGUGAUAUCGCUGGCCUUGUGUUCGUAGUUAUGAUCGAAGUCGUAGGAAUAAAGUAGAGUGGCAGGAUUGGAAUGUGACAGGAAGAGAAGGCCAAAAGACUUGCACAUUGACAGGAAGUAGAAUUCCGUAUGUGUGGGUGUGUGUGUGUGUGUGUCACUGUGUGUGUGAGUUUGUGUGUGUGUGUGUGUGUGAAGCCAUGCAGUGGGUCUAUUAACCUCCAUGAUCCAACGAUAAAACAGAAUAAACAAGUUACCUGAAAGUGUCAUGCAUGCAGGCUUAUUUUUCAUGUAAUUCGAGUUUUUCUUCAGUUUUUACUCGCAAGGUGCAUGGAAUCUUGGUAGACUUGCUGACGUCAAACUUGUCUUUCUUGUCUAAACUAGUACUAUCUAUGGUGGUUCGAGGUUUGUAACUGUUGCUAAUUUCACUAGGAAGGUCUGAACAAAAUAACGGAGAUGCCACGGUCUCCCACACCAAACAAUCCAAUAUUAAUAUACCUUUAUCAUGUGAAUUUCACUUGCAACUCAAGUGUUGCUGAAAUUAUUGAACCCAAGGUACGCGGAGUGAAAAUAAAGGUAUACACCAAGUACUGAGCAGUGUGGAAAAAUUAAGUGUGUCGAUCCUUACUCCCUUUUGAAUAAAUCGGCGACAAUGGGGACCACUAUUUAACAAAAAUAUAGAUGUUUUCAUGUACAUAUCAAAGAGUAGUAGUGGCGGCUCCCACUAUAGAUUUUUUUACAUCAAAACUUGGUAUAAAAAAAAAACACAUAAACACAGAAAUCAUCGGACGUCAGAGACUUUACAAAUUCUUUAUUUGAAGGUCCUCAUCAAAAAUGAUCCAAAACAUAAUCUCAAGAAAUAUAUAUGCAGAUAGUUUUCUGUCCUCAGGGUCUGGGCAGUCGUAGUCGCUGUUGUCUGUGUCUCCUAGAAAAGAAAGAAACCGGUAAGGAUCUGUAACACAUGAAAACUACUGCCGAAAACAUUCAAAGAAGGACAGGUGAAUAUUUGUGCGUUCAAAGAUUUUAUAAUUAGUUAAGAUAUAAUGGCAUUAACUGAUUAAAACAUGUUUUCCUUUUCGGUAACGCUAGUUCACAUUUAUCCAUAGGGUGACCUUUAUCCGUUGUCUUUAAAAACAGCACAUUUAGGAGUAUUAAGUCUGCUGACAGCGGUUUCAAAUUUGCAAUAUUUUGACAAUGCUCCGAUUUGAAACCACCGUCCGUCAACUUCAUAUCCCUAAAUAAGUUUUUUCUUACAAACAACUAAUAUAGGUUACCCUCGGAUAAAGGUGAACCAGCGUUACACACUCAAGCAAGACGUCACAACAACGAUCGAAGUAAAGUACAAUGCAGCAUUUAGUGAACAACAAACGUAUGAAGCUCUCUCCAACCACAUGACUGUGUGUGUAAACGUAAAAAAAAGUGUAAAUGGAGUCCUAUCUAUAUAUGUCCUAGGCACCUCAAAGCAUGGUCAUUUGAUCCUAAUACUAUGGAAAAUAGCUUAAUUAUUAAGAUAUACAUUUUGGUCUAAAAUGGUCCCAAAUAAAUCAUUUUUAAAGCAGUAUGUCUUUCAUGCCUUUCAUCCCGCUUUAGUACGGCGCACAUAAAGAGCUGCGCGAGGACAUGGGAAGGGCUGAUGCUUUUUUGCGAAACAUUUACGUGGGUCCGUAAGGUGUACGCAGUGACACUCACUUUAAAGAACAAUUAAUGAUAAAGGCUUCAAUCCUAAACGAACUAUUGUAUUCAGUGUCUGAAGCUAAGAUCAACAUUACGUACAUUACAAUCUUAUAUAUUCAUUUCUUCUCAUUGUUCAGUUCAUUGUACAUUUGAAAAUUAUUCUGGGUUGAAUCUGGAAAAAUGACUUUUUGCCCUUUGGCAUGGCAACACGGCAAUCGGAAAUCCUAGAGCCCUAACCCAUACCGCUUCGUACACUGUUUCAGUUCCUUUCACAAUAUACAUGUAGCAACACUGAGAACGUGUAUGAAGUGAUUAUGGCUUUAUUUCAAUGCACGUUGUGGUGAAGCUUGUACGCAUGAAGCGCCGUCUGGCGCCGCUUUGGGUACUGCAGCUCCAGUACACCUGCCUCAUGAUUAGCAUAACAAAGGCUGCCGUGAGUCGCCAUCACGCGACUAACCCGGAAGUCAGGCACGGUUUCACAACUAAAAGAGGAGCUUCUUUUUCUUGCCGGUUUCUCCGGACAACAGAACUUCGCAAAAUUCACAAAAGAACACCUUAAGAGAACGAAAAACUACUUCACAGCCUCCUAGACUUGGCCUAACGGAUUUGCGGCACCAUUGGGAGGCACCGGUGUGUCUGGCUACAGCAGAAAACACAUGGAAGAGAAGGAAAAGAAUGAGAAGACAGCAGAAGAGAUUGCAGCAAUUAAGAAAGCGCGGAAGCUGUUCCAGUUUUCCAAAGGUAAGAUCCGGACAGACGAUGUUUGAAGCAGCUCAACAUUUGGUGAGACGUAUCUUUUCAUCGAUCAGUGAACACAUGUAUAUAUAUUAUUUAUGUAUAUAUCAGGACAUCAAUAAAGUUUAUCUUUUGUCAUUGUAUGGUGAAUCAUGUCCCUGCAUAAGCUAUGUAAACAGGGAUACAUUUUGUAUUCAGUGUAUUCUAUGUUGUGCAAGUAAGUGAACACCUUUCUUUGAGAGUUGUUUAUGUACGAGGGGCGGUCAAUACGUAAUGCCACUUCCAGUUGUCUAAUCUAAAUAAAAUUUUGAAUGUGUAAUGAUUCAUAUCUCUAUGGGUUAUGUUGCAAAAAACACCUCUGAACUAAUUGUGGUUUCUGAUUUACUGGUGUUUGAACUGAGUCAGGUGUGAAAUGGACCAGGUGUGAAAUGGAGCCAGUUGAGUGUCGCGCAGUGAUCCGGUAUUUGGCGGGCGUCUCAUGGACCCCGCCUAACAUUAUAGUGAGCAACCGUUUGACAAGAAUUCUCGGAAUUCCGCAGGCAUCUGUGGAAUUUUUCUACAGCCCCGCCCGCCCGUGUUCAGUCACGUGACCUGACCCCGCCGAAACAGGGGUAAACAACUGGUCUUGCCACUUUCUCAGGCGAUACCUCAAAAAUCCCUGCACCAAAACACAAAUGCUAUACACCAAAAUAAAGGGAAUUUUGUUGUCUAAAUACACUGUUAAUGGCUUUAACAUAGGUGCUAAACUCGAUGAGAUAUUUUCCGGAACGUCCGGCAAAUGCCCCUUCUUCCGCGCUCGGCGCUGGGGGCUUCGUGCGGACAGAAACUUCCGCGGGAGGGUCUGCAUGGGGGGUCCCGACAAUGAUUUACGCUGAAGUCAGAAGAACGCCCUACGUAUUACGCAAAAUCAAGGAUGGCAAUUACGCUAAAUUUGGUCACCUCGCUACGAAUUACGCAGAUAUUCAUAAGAUGGUUUUCCCUACGAAUUACGGGAAAUAAAAAUAGGCUGCCUACGAAUAGGCCAAGGAAGACGUGGCUGGACAAUAUCAAGACAUGGACUGGCCUAAGCACUGAACAGCUCAUCAGAGGGGCAGAGGACAGAGCGAGAUGGGCACGGAUCACUGCUACUGGAUGUCGGGGAGCCCCUACGACCACUGAGGUUACGGGCCGUGAGUGAGAUAUGGCCUUAGUUGCUGAAGAUCA